AAUGAACGCUGGCGGCAGGCCUAAAACAUGCAAGUCGAACGCCCUAGCAAUAGGGAGUGGCGCACGGGUGAGUAACAUGUGGGAAUAUGCCUUUUGGUACGGAACAACGUUUGGAAACGAACGCUAAUACCGUAUGGUCCCUCCGGGGUAAAGAUUUAUCGCCAAAAGAUUAGCCCGCACUAGAUUAGCUAGUUGGUAAGGUAAUGGCUUACCAAGGCGACGAUCUAUAGCUGUUCUGAGAGGAAGAUCAGCCACACUGGGACUGAGACACGGCCCAGACUCCUACGGGAGGCAGCAGUUAGGAAUAUUGGACAAUGGGCGCAAGCCUGAUCCAGCCAUGCCGCGUGAGUGAUGAAGGCCUUCGGGUUGUAAAGCUCUUUAGCCGACGAAUAUAAUGACUGUAGUCGGAGAAUAAGCCCCGGCUAACUUCGUACCAGCAGCCGCCAUAAGAC
rnacentral:rRNA from 1 species